rnacentral:rRNA from 1 species
GCUAGCCGGAAACUAGCUCUCUGGAGCUCUUACUUUUUCGCCCACUGAAGCUAAGCAGGGCUGAGCCUGAUUAGUUCCAGGAUGGUAAACCACAUGGGAAAAAUAUGUUGCUGUUGGAA